CGAACGGCUGAGUAACACGUGGGCAACCUGCCCUCCUCUUGGGGAUAGCCUCGGGAAACCGAGGAUAAUACCCGAUACUUCAAUGUGGCCGCAUGACGACAUUGAGAAAGCUUUUGCGGAGAAGGAUGGGCCCGCGGCCUGUUAGCUUGUUGGUGGGGUAGAGGCCUACCAAGGCAAUGAUGGGUAGCUGGGUUGAGAGACCGACCAGCCAGAUUGGGACUGAGACACGGCCCAGACUCCUACGGGAGGCAGCAGGC
rnacentral:rRNA from 1 species